rnacentral:rRNA from 1 species
UACGUAGGGUGCGAGCGUUAAUCGGAAUUACUGGGCGUAAAGAGUGCGUAGGCGGUUCUUUGUGUCCGCUGUGAAAGCCCCGGGCUUAACCUGGGAAUGGCAGUGGAAACUAGAGAACUUGAAUCUGGCAGAGGGGGGUGGAAUGUCACGUGUAGCAGUGAAAUGCGUAGAUAUGUGGCGGAACACCGAUGGCGAAGGCAGCCCCCUGGGCUGAGAUUGACGCUCAGGCACGAAAGCGUGGGGAGCAAACAGG